GUUGCACAAAAUUAAAAUGUUAAUUACUUGAAGUCAUUCAAGAACCAAUAUUCAAUAUUAUAAAAGUUUAAAACUGAACCGAUGACAUUUCGACGUUAACCCACGUCAAUAUAAAGUAAAAGUAUGAAUUUUUUGCACUAAUUUAAAAGGCUAAAAAAAUAGGUCAUUAAUAGAAAUCUGAGGCUAAAAUCAGAGAUUGGCAUUAAUUGAUAGUCGCUUUGUGUAUUCAAGUCUGAACAGCAUUUCGUAAACAAGACAGUCAUAUUUCCCCUGACAUCAUGCGCUUUUUAGUUUUUUUAUUAGUUCUUGAAAUGAUUUUAUGUUCGAGUUAUAUUUUAUGGCGCAACAUUUUAUUGUGAAAUAAAAAAUAUAUAUCAGAACAAUAUUUUAAUAGCUGAAAAGCCUGCCGCUUUGUUAUUGCGAUAACAGCCUUAUGACGGCUGCUGAUGCCAGGCUGAGUUAUUACUAAUCUCUAUGCACAGAUCAGCU